UCAAGCGAAUAAGCGCAUACGGUGGAUGCCUUGGCAGUCAGAGGCGAUGAAAGACGUGGCAGCCUGCGAAAAGCUCCGGGGAGUUGGCAACAAGCAUUGAUCCGGAGAUGUCUGAAUGGGGAAACCCACCGCUUAGGCGGUAUCCUGCAGUGAAUACAUAGCUGCUGGAAGCAAACCCGGGGAACUGAAAUAUCUCAGUACCUGGAGGAAAAGAAAUCAACCGAGAUUCCCCCAGUAGUGACGAGCGAACGGGGAGCAGCCCAAAAGUUGAUAUUGAGGUAGCAAAAUGGCCUGGGAAGGCCAACCAUAGCGGGUGAUAGUCCCGUAUGCGAAACCUCUUUAUUGAUGAUAAGUGAGUAGGGCGGGGCACGAGAAACCCUGUCUGAACAUGGGAGGACCAUCUUCCAAGGCUAAAUACUCCUGACUGACCGAUAGUGAACCAGUACCGUGAGGGAAAGGCGAAAAGAACCGCGGAGAGCGGAGUGAAAUAGAACCUGAAACCGUAUGCGUACAAGCAGUGGGAGCCCCUUCGUGGGGUGACUGCGUACCUUUUGUAUAAUGGGUCAGCGACUUAUUGUCUGUGGCAAGCUUAACCGAUUAGGGGAGGCGAAGGGAAACCGAGUCUGAAUAGGGCGUAUAGUCGCAGGCAAUAGACCCGAAACCGGGUGAUCUAGCCAUGCCCAGGGUGAAGGUGCCGUAACAGGUACUGGAGGCCCGAACCCACUCCUGUUGCAAAAGUAGGGGAUGAGGUGUGGCUAGGAGUGAAAAGCUAAUCGAACCCGGAGAUAGCUGGUUCUCCUCGAAAGCUAUUUAGGUAGCGCCUCGCACGAAUCUUCUUGGGGGUAGAGCACUGUUAUGGCUAGGGGGUCAUUGAGACUUACCAAACCAUUGCAAACUCCGAAUACCAAGACAGACUAUGCGGGAGACACACGGCGGGUGCUAACGUCCGUCGUGAAAAGGGAAACAACCCAGACCUACAGCUAAGGUCCCCAAGUCAUGGCUAAGUGGAAAACGAUGUGGGAAGGCAUAGACAGCUAGGAGGUUGGCUUAGAAGCAGCCAUCCUUUAAAGAAAGCGUAAUAGCUCACUAGUCGAGUCGUCCUGCGCGGAAGAUGUAACGGGGCUAAGCACGUAACCGAAGCUUCGGGUGCAUAUUUAUAUGCACGGUAGGAGAGCGUUCUGUAAGCCUGCGAAGGUGUCUUGUGAAGGAUGCUGGAGGUAUCAGAAGUGCGAAUGCUGACAUGAGUAGCGAUAAAGGGUGUGAAAAGCACCCUCGCCGAAAGCCCAAGGUUUCCUGCACAACGUUCAUCGGUGCAGGGUGAGUCGGCCCCUAAGGCGAGGCAGAAAUGCGUAGUCGAUGGGAAACAGGUUAAUAUUCCUGUACCUCAAUUUAAUGCGAUGUGGGGACGGAGAAGGUUAAGUCAGCCGGGUGUUGGAUGUCCCGGUUCAAGCGUGUAGACAGAUUCUUUAGGCAAAUCCGGAGAGUCAAUGUCAAGGCGUGAUAACGAGUGAGCUUGCUCAUGAAGUGACUGAUACCAUGCUUCCAAGAAAAGCCACUAAGCUUCAGUUAAGUUGAGACCGUACCGCAAACCGACACAGGUGGGCAGGAUGAGAAUUCUAAGGCGCUUGAGAGAACUCAGGAGAAGGAACUCGGCAAACUAGCACCGUAACUUCGGGAGAAGGUGCGCCCCGGUAGGUUGUAGCAAUUUACUUGCGAAGGCCGAUGGGGUUGCAGUGAAAAGGUGGCUGCGACUGUUUAAUAAAAACACAGCACUGUGCAAACACGAAAGUGGACGUAUACGGUGUGACGCCUGCCCGGUGCCGGAAGGUUAAAUGAUGGGGUGCAAGCUCUUGAUUGAAGCCCCGGUAAACGGCGGCCGUAACUAUAACGGUCCUAAGGUAGCGAAAUUCCUUGUCGGGGAAGUUCCGACCUGCACGAAUGGCGUAACGAUG
rnacentral:rRNA from 1 species